UGUGGCCCGUGGAAUGGCGGAGAAAUCGCGGCGGUGCCAUGUCCUUUGGAAUUUUCUGUAAACACCUUCUAGGGUGCUGAGGGAGUAGUUGGGGCUCCCUGCAGGCACUGGGCUACAAAACUGCUCGGGACCGGGAUCCAGAGCGGGGGAGGGGACUGCCGCUGGUCUCUGGAUGCCACCUCCCAUCCCCCUGCCACCCUGCAGGAGCCCGUCACAGCUGAAUAUCGUCCCAGCUGGCAAAGGAAAAAUAUUUACCAGGUACCAGAACUGUUUCCACAGAGCAGUCCAAAAUGGAGUCCCUCAGCCAUCCAGCACCACUUAAGAGGUAACUGGGAAACUCUCUGUUAGACCAAGGCUCAUCUGCACCCCUGUCUGGAACAGCAGGUAAUGUCUAUAUGAUUCAAGAAACCUCUGCCUUCUGCCCAAGAUAAACAACUUUGCAUUGUGUUUAUGUUUAGAAACAGCUAGAAGCUCUUUAAUGAAGUCACUAUAGUGGAAUUUUAAACGAGCAAACUGCUAUCUCAGACGUCAAAAAUUACAGUGAUCGUUUAUAGGGUGUGAAACAAGGGGCCUAUUUCUAGGCAGAAAAGGAGAAGGAAUUAAAUCUAGUGAGUUCACUGUAAGUUAAUUUAUAUUAAUUAAUUGUGGUUAAUAAUACAUGCUCUUUGGGAAUUAUAUUUCCAAUACUUGCAAUGUUUUCUGCUUCUAAAACACUUGUCUCCAACCUUAAAGUGUUUAUACACAUUCAAAAUUAGGAGACUACAUUUUGGAUAAGGAGAGGGAUAUUCUGUAGUAAAACAAUUUGAAAACAAGAGAACGUUUAUCUGUUUAUGUCAAAUGUCAGGAAACACAACAGAGAUGAUCUGUAAUUUAUGAUUACAAAAUACUACAUAGUCAAAUUUCAUCUUAUCUCAGACCAAGUCAUAACUACUCAAUAUUUU